rnacentral:rRNA from 1 species
AGUGAACGCUGGCGGUAGGCCUAACACAUGCAAGUCGAACGGCAGCACAGUAAGAGCUUGCUCUUACGGGUGGCGAGUGGCGGACGGGUGAGGAAUACAUCGGAAUCUACUUUUUCGUGGGGGAUAACGUAGGGAAGCUUACGCUAAUACCGCAUACGACCUACGGGUGAAAGCAGGGGAUCUUCGGACCUUGCGCGAUUGAAUGAGCCGAUGUCGGAUUAGCUAGUUGGCGGGGUAAAGGCCCACCAAGGCGACGAUCCGUAGCUGGUCUGAGAGGAAGAUCAGCCACACUGGAACUGAGACACGGUCCAGACUCCUACGGGAGGCAGCAGUGGGGAAUAUUGGACAAUGGGCGCAAGCCUGAUCCAGCCAUACCGCGUGGGUGAAGAAGGCCUUCGGGUUGUAAAGCCCUUUUGUUGGGAAAGAAAAGCAGCAGGUUAAUACCCCGCUGUUCUGACGGUACCCAAAGAAUAAGCACCGGCUAACUUCGUG